rnacentral:rRNA from 1 species
GCACGGAGUUAGCCGGGGCUUAUUCUCCCGGUACAGUCAUUAUCUUCCCGGGUAAAAGAGCUUUACAACCCGAAGGCCUUCUUCACUCACGCGGCAUUGCUGGAUCAGGCUUUCGCCCAUUGUCCAAUAUUCCCCA